AUCUACUUGCUGUCUCAUUGGCCAAACAGUAUUUUAUUUAACAAUCAAUAAGAUAAACAUACACAGAAGUACUUACCCCAUCAUUCUAAUGCUAGAAGCUGCUGUGCAGAUGUUGGGGACAAAAGUCAUCAAUGGUCUUCCCCAUCUGUCAACACUGUAUGCUUCAAUGCCAACCUUCCAGAGUUUUCCAGCUCAGUAGAGUGCAUCUACCAUGUUCAGAAGACUACCCAACUCCAUAUGUGAUUCAGCCCAGCUUUUGCCCUCUGAAAUCUUUUGACAAGCCCCAUCUCUCAUCUCCAGUUGGAGUCAUCCUGUCACUGCAAAGACUCAGGAUGGUGCUGAACAGCAAACCAUGUACACAGCCUGGGAUCAGCUUCCAAAGAGCUCUUUGAAGGCUGCUGGGGCUCUAACAAAGUCUCAGAGCAAGACAACAGACUUCAUUACAAUCAAGUCUAAUUGUUCAGCAAGCCGCCUUUCUUAAGGCCAAUCAGCUCAUUUGUGUUAAAAUAAUUCCCAGAGAGUCAUCUUAUUCCCCAGAUUCCUGACUCGGCAGCUCAUCACAUCACCGUUCCCUUCAGCUACCUCAAAAACUUAAUAAAGCCAGAAAGAUUAUCAGUGCAAGCCUGUGGCUAUCUGAGUCCAUUUCCACCCCAACCAGAAGCAAGUGCAAGGUGCUUCAAGCAGGAUUUACAGAAGUUUGUCCUGAAGCUUCAUUGUUGACUAUUCUCCUACUACCAGUACCUAGC
rnacentral:lncRNA from 1 species